GGGUUGUGAGGUUAAGCGAUUAAGCGUACACGGUGGAUGCCCUGGCAGUCAGAGGCGAUGAAGGGCGUGCUAAUCUGCGAUAAGCGCCGGUAAGGUGAUAUGAACCGUUAUAACCGGCGAUACCCGAAUGGGGAAACCCAGUGUGA
rnacentral:rRNA from 1 species